rnacentral:rRNA from 1 species
UGAGAUUAGCGGAACGUUCUGGAAAGUACGGCCAUAGUGGGUGAUAGCCCUGUACGCGAAAAUCUCUUAGUCAUGAAAUCGAGUAGGACGGAGCACGAGAAACUUUGUCUGAAUAUGGGGGGACCAUCCUCCAAGGCUAAAUACUACUGACUGACCGAUAGUGAACUAGUACCGUGAGGGAAAGGCGAAAAGAACCCCGGAGAGGGGAGUGAAAUAGAUCCUGAAACCGUAUGCGUACAAGCAGUGGGAGCCCACUUUGUUGGGUGACUGCGUACCUUUUGUAUAAUGGGUCAGCGACUUAUUUUCAGUGGCGAGCUUAACCGAAUAGGGGAGGCGUAGCGAAAGCGAGUCUUAAUAGGGCGUCUAGUCGCUGGGAAUAGACCCGAAACCGGGCGAUCUAUCCAUGGGCAGGUUGAAGGUUGGGUAACACUAACUGGAGGACCGAACCGACUACCGUUGAAAAGUUAGCGGAUGACCUGUGGAUCGGAGUGAAAGGCUAAUCAAGCUCGGAGAUAGCUGGUUCUCCUCGAAAGCUAUUUAGGUAGCGCCUCAUGUAUCACUGUAGGGGGUAGAGCACUGUUUCGGCUAGGGGGUCAUCCCGACUUACCAAACCGAUGCAAACUCCGAAUACCUACAAGUGCCGAGCAUGGGAGACACACGGCGGGUGCUAACGUCCGUCGUGAAAAGGGAAACAACCCAGACCGUCAGCUAAGGUCCCAAAGUUAUGGUUAAGUGGGAAACGAUGUGGGAAGGCUUAGACAGCUAGGAGGUUGGCUUAGAAGCAGCCACCCUUUAAAGAAAGCGUAAUAGCUCACUAGUCGAGUCGGCCUGCGCGGAAGAUGUAACGGGGCUCAAACCAUACACCGAAGCUACGGGUAUCAUCUUAGGAUGAUGCGGUAGAGGAGCGUUCUGUAAGCCUGUGAAGGUGAGUUGAGAAGCUUGCUGGAGGUAUCAGAAGUGCGAAUGCUGACAUGAGUAACGACAAUGGGUGUGAAAAACACCCACGCCGAAAGACCAAGGUUUCCUGCGCAACGUUAAUCGACGCAGGGUUAGUCGGUCCCUAAGGCGAGGCUGAAAAGCGUAGUCGAUGGAAAACAGGUUAAUAUUCCUGUACUUCUGGUUAUUGCGAUGGAGGGACGGAGAAGGCUAGGCCAGCUUGGCGUUGGUUGUCCAAGUUUAAGGUGGUAGGCUGAGAUCUUAGGUAAAUCCGGGAUCUUAAGGCCGAGAGCUGAUGACGAGUGUUCUUUUAGAACACGAAGUGGUUGAUGCCAUGCUUCCAAGAAAAGCUUCUAAGCUUCAGGUAACCAGGAACCGUACCCCAAACCGACACAGGUGGUUGGGUAGAGAAUACCAAGGCGCUUGAGAGAACUCGGGUGAAGGAACUAGGCAAAAUGGCACCGUAACUUCGGGAGAAGGUGCGCCGGUGAGGGUGAAGGACUUGCUCCGUAAGCUCAUGCCGGUCGAAGAUACCAGGCCGCUGCGACUGUUUAUUAAAAACACAGCACUCUGCAAACACGAAAGUGGACGUAUAGGGUGUGACGCCUGCCCGGUGCCGGAAGGUUAAUUGAUGGGGUUAGCUAACGCGAAGCUCUUGAUCGAAGCCCCGGUAAACGGCGGCCGUAACUAUAACGGUCCUAAGGUAGCGAAAUUCCUUGUCGGGUAAGUUCCGACCUGCACGAAUGGCGUAACGAUGGCGGCGCUGUCUCCACCCGAGACUCAGUGAAAUUGAAAUCGCUGUGAAGAUGCAGUGUAUCCGCGGCUAGACGGAAAGACCCCGUGAACCUUUACUAUAGCUUUGCACUGGACUUUGAAUUUGCUUGUGUAGGAUAGGUGGGAGGCUUUGAAGCGUGGACGCCAGUUCGCGUGGAGCCAACCUUGAAAUACCACCCUGGCAACUUUGAGGUUCUAACUCAGGUCCGUUAUCCGGAUCGAGGACAGUGUAUGGUGGGUAGUUUGACUGGGGCGGUCUCCUCCUAAAGAGUAACGGAGGAGUACGAAGGUGCGCUCAGACCGGUCGGAAAUCGGUCGUAGAGUAUAAAGGCAAAAGCGCGCUUGACUGCGAGACAGACACGUCGAGCAGGUACGAAAGUAGGUCUUAGUGAUCCGGUGGUUCUGUAUGGAAGGGCCAUCGCUCAACGGAUAAAAGGUACUCCGGGGAUAACAGGCUGAUACCGCCCAAGAGUUCAUAUCGACGGCGGUGUUUGGCACCUCGAUGUCGGCUCAUCACAUCCUGGGGCUGAAGCCGGUCCCAAGGGUAUGGCUGUUCGCCAUUUAAAGUGGUACGCGAGCUGGGUUUAGAACGUCGUGAGACAGUUCGGUCCCUAUCUGCCGUGGACGUUUGAGAUUUGAGAGGGGCUGCUCCUAGUACGAGAGGACCGGAGUGGACGAACCUCUGGUGUUCCGGUUGUCACGCCAGUGGCAUUGCCGGGUAGCUAUGUUCGGAAUAGAUAACCGCUGAAAGCAUCUAAGCGGGAAACUAGCCUCAAGAUGAGAUCUCACUGGGACCUUGAGUCCCCUGAAGGGCCGUCGAAGACUACGACGUUGAUAGGUUGGGUGUGUAAGCGCUGUGAGGCGUUGAGCUAACCAAUACUAAUUGCCCGUGAGGCUUGACC